UAACGCGAAGAACCUUACCAAGGCUUGACAUACACCGGAAAACCCUGGAGACAGGGUCCCCCUUGUGGUCGGUGUACAGGUGGUGCAUGGCUGUCGUCAGCUCGUGUCGUGAGAUGUUGGGUUAAGUCCCGCAACGAGCGCAACCCUUGUUCUGUGUUGCCAGCAUGCCUUUCGGGGUGAUGGGGACUCACAGGAGACUGCCGGGGUCAACUCGGAGGAAGGUGGGGACGACGUCAAGUCAUCAUGCCCCUUAUGUCUUGGGCUGCACACGUGCUACAAUGGCCGGUACAAUGAGCUGCGAUGCCGUGAGGUGGAGCGAAUCUCAAAAAGCCGGUCUCAGUUCGGAUUGGGGUCUGCAACUCGACCCCAUGAAGUCGGAGUUGCUAGUAAUCGCAGAUCAGCAUGCUGCGGAA
rnacentral:rRNA from 1 species